rnacentral:rRNA from 1 species
ACCCCACUGCUAUUGGGAUGGGACUAAGACAUGUUAGUCGAGCGUCUCUAAGCUAUGAUGGAGACGCGGCGCACAGCUCAGUAACACGUGGCUAACCUGCCCUUGGGACAGGGAUAACCCCGGGAAACUGGGGCUAAUACUUGAUAGGUGAGAACUCCUGGAAUGGAUUCUCGCUGAAAGGGCGUCUAGAUCAUGCUUUUAGGCGUCGUCCAAGGAGGGGGCCGCGGCCGAUCAGGUUGUUGGUGAGGUAACGGCCCACCAAGCCUUUAACCGGUACGGGCCGUGAGAGCGGUAGCCCGGAGAUGGGUACUGAGACAAGGGCCCAGGCCCUAUGGGGCGCAGCAGUCGCGAAAACUCACCAAUUCACGAAAGUGUGAGUGGGCCAUGCGGGAGUGCCGUCCGCUGAGGAUGGCUUUUCCUUAGUGUACAAAGCUGGGGGAAUAAGGAGAGGGCAAGUCUGGUGUCAGCCGCCGCGGUAAUACCAGCUCUCCGAGUGGUGGGGAUGUUUAUUGGGCCUAAAGCAUUCGUAGCCUGCUGGACAAGUCCUCCGUUAAAUCCAACGAUUCAAUCGUUGGGCCGCGGGGGAUACUGUUCGGCUAGGGGGCGGAAGAGGUCGACGGUAUUUUCGGGGUAGGGGUGAAAUCCUAUAAUCCCGGGAGGACCACCAGUGGCGAAAGCUGUCGGCUAGAACGCGCCCGACGGUGAGGGAUGAAAGCUGGGGGAGCGAACCGGAUUAGAUACCCGGGUAGUCCCAGCCGUAAACGAUGCAGCUAGUGUCGGCGCGGUUACGUGCCGCUCAGUGCGCAGGAAGCCGUUAAGCCUGCCGCUGGGAGUACGCCGCAGCUGAACUUAAAGGAAUUGGCGGGGGAGCACACAAGGGUGAGCUUGCGGUUAUUGGAGUCAAUGCCGGAAAUCUCACCGGGGGCGACAGCAGGUUGAAGGUCAGAUUGAAGGUCUUACCAGACAAGCUGAGAGGAGGUGCAUGGCCGUCGCCAGUUCGUGCCGUGAGGUGUCCUGUUAAGUCAGGCAACGAUGGGGACCCGCAUCCCCCCUUGCCACCGGCCAUGAGCCGAGCACACUGAGGAAACUGCCGCCGAUAAGGCGGAGGAAGGAGCGGGCCACGGCAGGUCAGUAUGCCCCGAAUCCCCCGGGCUACACGCGAGCUGCAAUGGCAGGUACAGAGGGUACCGACCCUGAAAAGGGAAGGAAAUCCCGAAAGCCUGCCGUAGUUGGGAUCGAAGGUUGUAACUCACCUUCGUGAACAUGGAAUCCCUAGUAACCGCGUGUCAUUAUCGCGCGGUGAAUACGUCCCUGCUCCUUGCACACACCGCCCGUCGUUCCAGCCAAGCGAUGCUUGGGUGAGGCGUGGUCCUUUGGGCUGCGUCGAAUCCGGGUUUCGUGAGGGGGG